rnacentral:rRNA from 1 species
UACGUAGGGUGCAAGCGUUAAUCGGAAUUACUGGGCGUAAAGCGUGCGCAGGCGGUUAUGCAAGUCAGAUGUGAAAUCCCCGGGCUUAACCUGGGAACUGCAUUUGUGACUGCAUAGCUGGAGUGCGGGAGAGGGGGAUGGAAUUCCGCGUGUAGCAGUGAAAUGCGUAGAUAUGCGGAGGAACACCGAUGGCGAAGGCAAUCCCCUGGGCCUGCACUGACGCUCAUGCACGAAAGCGUGGGGAGCAAACAGG